UCCAUACGUGUCGUUUGAACUUGUUUGUUAAUUUGUUUAUCGGUAGCACGUCCUUCGAAGUACACGCGAUUGGCUAGUGUUUCUUAAUUAAUAACUCGAGUUAAGAAAAUUGAAACGAAAGUUUUUGAAAAUAUCGCUUGAAUUUGGAAAGAAAUUUCGAAUUAACCGAUGUUUCCAUGUGUUUUUAGGACACGCCCGCGUUCAAAUUGGUUCUCUUCUUACCUGUAGACCGACGUACCGAGGUCCUCGCGGUACCAAAGCACAAGGGACCAGGAGACGCUUAACGAGAAAAUACACGCGUUAUCGCAAAAAUUAGAAAGAAAUGGAGGAAAUUAAUUUUAAUAAGAAUUGAAUUACACUGUGUGUAUUUUUCAACCAUUUUGACCAUUAAAAUUGCGCGUGCAAAUAACGAAGAGGACUUUCUCUCGGGACAGCCGUAUAGACACUCGUUAGUUUCUUUGAACGUGGAGAAAUUAAGAGACUCAAAAAGUGGCCGAGGGGAAAGAAAAUGCGUGCAAAGAUGAGAUGGAUGAAAGGGAUUGCGAGUUGAAUAUUACAAAGAGGAAAUGGAGAAGUAUUUUUUUAACGUUAUUACGUAAAGAUUAUUCCAUGGAUUUUUCUUAUGUGGAAGAAAAAAAUUGAAUAUCACAGAAAAAAAAAAAAAAUAAAGUUUGAAUAUCACAAAAAGGACGCAAGAAAAGUAUGGAUUAAAAGCUUAAAAGCUUUGAAAUUAGUACGUGUUUCACGAACGAAAGGAUUUAAAAAGAAAAUCAAAUUAAAAUUUCGUUGCUAUGGAAAGUUGCUUAUUUAAUUUUUUAAUUAAGAAGAUUAUGAGAAUUAAUUAAAAUUAGCAAAGGAAUCAGUAUAGAUUUAACUUUUUUAAAGUGAUACCAAAUUUUUUCCUGUUGCUGGAUUUUCCUAAGAUUUUGAGUUUUUUGAAUAGCAAAAAACUUUCAAAGAUUUCUUUCAAAUGUUCGAUCGUGAUAGGGAUGUCUCGUGAUUGAUGUAGCUUUUUCAAGCACAAGUUUUAGCACAAGUAAGAAGUUCUCAGCGCUUCAAGGAUCAAAAAUAUUCUAUAAAAUUCUCGGUGAAUUUUUUUUCCUCUCCCUCUCUCCCUCCCUCUCGUUUAAUCUAGAGGAGCUUUUCAUUAAGAAACUUUUUUAUUAAUCGAAGUCCAUUUAAUCGAAACUUUGAAAUAUUUAUAUCGUAUAAACAUCGAAUUUUUAUUAAAAACUUCGUAACAAUUCCUAAUCAAUCGAACGAGUCUAAUCAAAAGUUUGAGA